GGAAGUGGCACUUCCCCUUGGGAUCAUAGCUGGAAUGCUAUGCGUUACGGCCAAUGCUCAGUAUUUCAUCCACACAGCUUAUCACGGCCGGCCGAAGCACAUCGGGAACGAACGAUAUGUGGGACGUUGCCAUGGAAAGAAGGGAUAAAAAGGCUCUUGGAAAAUCUCUCUUCCUCCGAUUGAUCUCCGUUUGAUUUGGGAUCUUGGCU